UACGUAGGCAGCAAGCGUUGUUCGGAGUUACUGGGCGUAAAGAGUGCGUAGGCGGUUUUCUAAGUCUGGUGUGAAAUCUCCCGGCUCACUGGGAGGUGCGCCGAAAACUGGAAGGCUUGAGUAUGGAGAGGUAAGCGGAAUUCCUGGUGGUAGCGGUGAAAUGCGUAGACUAUCAGGAGGAACACCUGUGGUGUAGACAGCUUACUGGACCAUCACUGACGCUGAGGUACGAAAGCGUGGGUAG
rnacentral:rRNA from 1 species